rnacentral:lncRNA from 1 species
AGUUCCAUCUGUAUUCAAACAAGCAAGCUAACACACCCUCAAGCCACCUCUGAAGACAACAGAAAGAGAGGUGUAUCGAAGCUGUAGUGAGUCUUAGGAGUAGAGGCUGGUUGAAAUUUGUGCAGAAACGGUUGUAAUGUUCUAUAAAUGGGCGUUCUCCAGGACCAGGUGCUGGCAUCCAGGCCACCCUGGAACCCUGAAUUCAUUCCUUGAGUUAUUGCGAACACCCCUUUCCCUCCUUAAAAGGCCUGAUAGUGCAGGAGCCAAGCAUAGGUGCUCUACCUAUCCUCUUGGGUUGGUUAGGUUCCCUGGCUCAAUACUCUCCAUCUCUGGGCGUUUAUUCCAUUUGUUUGUAGACAGCACCCCUGGAAAAAACACCCCAGGUACAUUUUCACCCCACCGUUUUGUGUCCAGGAAGAUUAAAACGUACUGAGUGUACAUUCUCAUCCACCCAAUCAAGUGCCUGGCCUAGUUAAUAUUCACUUAAUGAAUGAGUUGAAAUAUUUUUUUUAAUGGGAAGAAUUUAGUGGAGCCAUCCCUGUAAUUUGGGAAGCAAGUCGCUCAACUUCUCUGGACCAUCUCCAAGGUUCCUUUGGUUCUGUGACCUCUUCCGUAUUUCAAAGUUGGGACUGGAAAUCACUUUUUUGAUGAGUGGGUUAUUUGCUUGGUGGCUGUGCAGGCCUUUGGCUUUGAGGUUUUCUGUUCUAGGUGGGAAACAGAGGGAGAGUCAGUAAAUGUGGAGAAAUGACCAGAGGCAGGGAGGUGUGCGGACAUCCAUGGACUGGGAAGUGGAUGUGUAGGAUUCCAUGGCCAGUGUUCAGCAUCAGUAGAUGAGGACAUACGUGUACCUAUUCUUUAAAAACUGUGUGUGUGCUUUUGAGCCAUUGUACGCGUGGGAGGUCAGAGGACAGCUUCGGAGCUGGACCUUCCUUUCCGUGUCUAUGUGGGCUCUGGGGUUCGGGUGUCAGGCAUCUCCCAGUCUGGUCUGUUGGCUAGUAGCUUCCUUUGAAGCUAGGGAGAUUAGGAGAGGGGCAGAUGGCAGUCAGUUUGGCCAUAGGUAGAAAGCUAUUUCUGUGACUGCAUGUUAGCUGCUCCACUGGCAGGAAGCAUGCCUCACGUCCCUGAGGCAGCCAGUGUGUGUGUGUGUGUGUGUGGGGGGGGGGGGGGGGGCUAGUUUUCCUCCUCCUCAGAAGGUAGACCUUCUGGAAUUUGUGACUUGUGUUUUAAUCCUUGUGCGUAUGAUUAAAGAUGAGACACAAAAUGGAUGAUCUCAUUUAAGGGAGCAGCCAGACAGCGCUAUCUUUUCUAUCCUUAUCCUUAACUUUACACUCUUCCCCUCAAGAAUAAAAGGGUUGGUGUACACCAUUUUGGCAAGUUGGAAAGACCCUGGCCUUUUCCCACUUGGCACAUUAAAGUUGUCUCCUAGUUCUUAGGAGAGAUUGAAAGGCUGGGCUUCAUCAGGAGAACUGGCGAUGGUUUUCACUGUGGGGUCUGGCUUGGCGGGGCGGGUAGUGCAAUUCUUGCCAUGCUUCCCCCAUGGCCCUUCUUGGCAGCACAAGUCAAGUUCCCUCGAAUUUGGAAACCUGCGGAUGAGGUCACUUAACCAGUUGUCUUUCCGGAACUGUGGAGUCUAGAGUCUAGAAAGGACUUUUCGUUAGGGGAAGGGUCUGCAGAAAGAGCAGUUAUCAAACUGGGCAAGAUUGCCAGGUCGCCUGUUUCUUGGUGUUUUAUAAUUUGGUUUGCAGUUACUCUGUGCCUUUUGUGUUUUUCUUUGGGUGGUGCAUUUAAGUGAUUUCUGUUCUUCAUUGGCCUGCAAGGCACCUUGACUUGUCAUUCGAAUGUCUUGAAGCUUUUUUUUUUUUAAUUCUUCCAUAAAUAUUUAAGGGAGCUGGGGUCCUGUAGGGCCUGAAGGCCUGUUGGUGAGUUCUGUGGCCGCAGGAGGUAGCUUCGACAGUUUGAUGCUCUUGACACCACAGAGAAGUCCUGUCUUUACGGAUGGUUUCGGCACUUAAUCUGAGCAACAGUUUUGAACUAUCUGUACUCUGCCAAGCUCUUGAAAUAAAGGAUAUGAAACGAUACAAGUCGAGCCUGGGCUGUGGAAGUGAACUCCUGCAGUCAUAGAAGUUUGGAGGCCAAUGUAGGAGGAUUCCUGGCUUGGGGUCACUUUGGGUUACAAAGUGAGACCCUAUUUUAAACAAGCAAACAAACAAACAAACAAAAACCAAUUAAACUGUGGAGCGGCUGGAGCGAGAGCCAGGUCAGCACUUGAGCACAUACUGCUCUUCCAGAGGGUCAGAGUUGGAUUCCUAGCACCCAUAUUAGGUGGUUCACAAUCCUUUGUAACUCCAGCUCUCGGAGGAUAUGAUGCCUCUGUGGCACCUGGAUUUGCAUGCAUAUACACCUUCCCCAGACACAUAUACAUG